GCCCUCCUGUCUCCUGGCUCUGGCCCUGGCCCUGGUCCUGGUCCCGGCCCUGGUCCUGGUCCUGCCCUCGCC
rnacentral:miRNA from 1 species